rnacentral:rRNA from 1 species
UGGGGAAUAUUGCACAAUGGGCGAAAGCCUGAUGCAGCAACGCCGCGUGAGGGAUGACGGCCUUCGGGUUGUAAACCUCUUUCAGCAGGGACGAAGCGCAAGUGACGGUACCUGCAGAAGAAGCACCGGCUAACUACGUGCCAGCAGCCGCGGUAAUACGUAGGGUGCAAGCGUUGUCCGGAAUUACUGGGCGUAAAGAGUUCGUAGGCGGUUUGUCGCGUCGUUUGUGAAAACCAGCAGCUCAACUGCUGGCUUGCAGGCGAUACGGGCAGACUUGAGUACUGCAGGGGAGACUGGAAUUCCUGGUGUAGCGGUGAAAUGCGCAGAUAUCAGGAGGAACACCGGUGGCGAAGGCGGGUCUCUGGGCAGUAACUGACGCUGAGGAACGAAAGCGUGGGUAGCGAACAGG